ACGAGUUAGGGUCUCCUAGGCCCGACCUCCCUACCCUUUGUUUACUGAACCUUUGUUGCUUCGGCGGACCCGUCUUAACCGACCGCCGGAGGACUGUCGAGAGACCUCCUCUGGCCAGUGUCCGCCGAUAGCCAACCUAAAUCUAAACUCUGGAUAAAUCGUGUUUGAUGUCUAAGUCUUAUGAUUAAAUUAAAGCA
rnacentral:misc_RNA from 1 species